rnacentral:rRNA from 1 species
CAAACGACUCUCGGCAACGGAUAUCUCGSSUCACGCAUCGAUGAAGAACGCAGCAAAAUGCGAUACUUGGUGUGAAUUGCAGAAUCCCGUGAACCAUCGAGUUUUUGAACGCAAGUUGCGCCCGAAGCCAUCCGGCUGAGGGCACGCCUGCCUGGGCGUCACGC